rnacentral:rRNA from 1 species
GACGAACGCUGGCGGCGUGCUUAACACAUGCAAGUCGAACGGAAAGGCCCUGCUUUUGUGGGGUGCUCGAGUGGCGAACGGGUGAGUAACACGUGAGUAACCUGCCCUUGACUUUGGGAUAACUUCAGGAAACUGGGGCUAAUACCGGAUAGGAGCUCCUGCUGCAUGGUGGGGGUUGGAAAGUUUCGGCGGUUGGGGAUGGACUCGCGGCUUAUCAGCUUGUUGGUGGGGUAGUGGCUUACCAAGGCUUUGACGGGUAGCCGGCCUGAGAGGGUGGCCGGGCACAUUGGGACUGAGAGACGGCGCAGACGCCUACGGGAGGCAGCAGGGGGGAAUAUGGCACAAUGGGCGGAAGCCUGAUGCAGCAGCGCCGCGUGCGGGAUGACGGCCUUCGGGUUGUAAACCGCUUUCGCCUGUGACGAAGCGUGAGUGACGGUAAUGGGUAAAGAAGCACCGGCUAACUACGUG